rnacentral:rRNA from 1 species
UAUUGGACAAUGGGGGCAACCCUGAUCCAGCAAUGCCGCGUGAGUGAUGAAGCCCUUCGGGUUGUAAAGCUCUUUUGUUAGGGACGAUGAUGACGGUACCUAACGAAUAAGCUCCGGCUAACUUCGUGCCAGCAGCCGCGGUAAUACGAAGGGAGCUAGCGUUGUUCGGAAUUACUGGGCGUAAAGGGCGCGUAGGCGGCUUGAUAAGUUUGAUGUGAAAGCCCUGGGCUUAACCUAGGAAUAGCAUUGAAUACUGUCAGGCUAGAGGCCGAGAGAGGGAAAUGGAAUUGCGAGUGUAGAGGUGAAAUUCGUAGAUAUUCGCAAGAACACCAGUGGCGAAGGCGAUUUCCAGGCUACGGUACUGACGCAAGGCGCGAGG